rnacentral:rRNA from 1 species
UGAGGAAUAUUGGACAAUGGGUGGAAGCCUGAUCCAGCCAUCCCGCGUGAAGGAUGGCGGUUCUAUGGAUUGUAAACUUCUUUUGUACAGGGAUAAACCUGCCCUCGUGAGGGCAGCUGAAGGUACUGUACGAAUAAGCACCGGCUAACUCCGUGCCAGCAGCCGCGGUAAUACGGAGGGUGCGAGCGUUAUCCGGAUUUAUUGGGUUUAAAGGGUCCGUAGGCGGGCCUGUAAGUCAGUGGUGAAAUCUCAUAGCUUAACUAUGAAACUGCCAUUGAUACUGCAGGCCUUGAGUAAAUUUGAAGUGGCUGGAAUAAGUAGUGUAGCGGUGAAAUGCAUAGAUAUUACUUAGAACACCGAUUGCGAAGGCAGGUCACUAAGAUUUAACUGACGCUGAUGGACGAAAGCGUGGGGAGCGAACA